AUUGAACGCUGGCGGCAGGCUUAACACAUGCAAGUCGAGCGGAGAUGAGGUGCUUGCACCUUAUCUUAGCGGCGGACGGGUGAGUAAUGCUUAGGAAUCUGCCUAUUAGUGGGGGACAACAUUCCGAAAGGAAUGCUGAUACCGCAUACGUCCUACGGGAGAAAGCAGGGGAUCUUCGGACCUUGCGCUAAUAGAUGAGCCUAAGUCGGAUUAGCUAGUUGGUGGGGUAAAGGCCUACCAAGGCGACGAUCUGCAGCGGGUCUGAGAGGAUGAUCCGCCACACUGGGACUGAGACACGGCCCAGACUCCUACGGGAGGCAGCAGUGGGGAAUAUUGGACAAUGGGGGAAACCCUGAUCCAGCCAUGCCGCGUGUGUGAAGAAGGCCUUAUGGUUGUAAAGCACUUUAAGCGAGGAGGAGGCUACUGAGACUAAUACUCUUGGAUAGUGGACGUUACUCGCAGAAUAAGCACCGGCUAACUCUGUGCCAGCCGCCGCGGUAA
rnacentral:rRNA from 1 species